rnacentral:rRNA from 1 species
CAGGACGAACGCUGGCGGCGUGCCUAACACAUGCAAGUCGAACGGACGAGAGGAGCUUGCUCCUCAAGUUAGUGGCGGACGGGUGAGUAACACGUGAGCAACCUGCCCUUCGAGGGGGACAACAGUUGGAAACGACUGCUAAUACCGCAUGACACAGCGGGGAGGCAUCUCCCUGCUGUCAAAAGAUUUAUCGCCGAAGGAUGGGCUCGCGUCUGAUUAGAUAGUUGGUGAGGUAACGGCCCACCAAGUCGACGAUCAGUAGCCGGACUGAGAGGUUGAACGGCCACAUUGGGACUGAGAUACGGCCCAGACUCCUACGGGAGGCAGCAGUGGGGAAUAUUGGGCAAAUGGGGGCAACCCUGACCCAGCAACGCCGCGUGAAGGAAGAAGGCUUUCGGGUUGUAAACUUCUUUGACGAGGGACGAUAGUGACGGUACCUCGAAAACAAGCCACGGCUAACUACGUGCCAGCCGCCGC